GUGAUUGCGGGAUCCAUCCGUGGGUACCCCUUCUAGGACUAGGUCCGCUCCCUUGUUUGUUCCUGACUGUAGCUAUUGAUUUGCACCCAUGUGUGUUGUGCUCUAGGCAUCAUAAGGUGUCUUUUUAUCCUAGCUGUGGCUGCGCGUGGUUGGUGGUCAAUGUAGCGAUUAUGGAUUUUGAUUCUAGGUGUAUACAAGUCGCUGUGGUGUGACAGGAUCAAGCUGUGCCGGUGUGGCGUUAGAUAAGGUGGUGAGCUUGGUACAAGUCAGGGUUACUAGGUCGCCCUUGAUGUCAGUUCC